rnacentral:rRNA from 1 species
CAAUAGCGUAUAUUAAAGUUGUUGCGGUUAAAAAGUUCGUAGUUGGAUUUCUGCCAAGGACGACCGGUCCGCCCUCUGGGUGAGUAUCUGGCUUGGCCUGGGCAUCUUCUUGGAGAACGUUGCUGCACUUCGCUGUGUGGCGCGGUAUCCAGGACCUUUACUUUGAGGAAAUUAGAGUGUUUCAAGCGGGCUUUCGCCUUGAAUACAUUAGCAUGGAAUAAUAAGAUAGGACCUCGGUUCAUUUUUUGUUGGUUGCUAGAGCCGGGGUAAUGAUUAAUAGGGAUAGUUGGGGGCAUUCGUAUUUAACUGUCAGAGGUGAAAUUCUUGGAUUUGUUAAAGACGGACUAGUGCGAAAGCAUUUGCCAAGGAUGUUUNUAUUG